rnacentral:rRNA from 1 species
CACGAGGGGUGCGAGCGUUGUUCGGAAUCACUGGGCGUAAAGGGAGCGUAGGCGGAACGCCAAGCCGGAAGUCUAAUGCCGGGGCCCAACCCCGGCGCCGCUUUCGGAACUGGCGUCCUUGAGUGUGCGAAGGGUCGGCGGAAUUCCUGGUGUAGCGGUGGAAUGCGUAGAUAUCAGGAAGAACACCGGUGGCGAAGGCGGCCGACUGGCGCGACACUGACGCUGAGGCUCGAAAGCGUGGGGAGCGAAC